ACGGGUGAGUAACGCGUGGGAAUCUACCCAUCUCUACGGAAUAACGCAUGGAAACGUGUGCUAAUACCGUAUACGUCCUUCGGGAGAAAGAUUUAUCGGAGAUGGAUGAGCCCGCGUUGGAUUAGCUAGUUGGUGGGGUAAAGGCCUACCAAGGCGACGAUCCAUAGCUGGUCUGAGAGGAUGAUCAGCCACACUGGGACUGAGACACGGCCCAGACUCCUACGGGAGGCAGCAGUGGGGAAUAUUGGACGAUGGGCGCAAGCCUGAUCCAGCCAUGCCGCGUGAGUGAUGAAGGCCCUAGGGUUGUAAAGCUCUUUCACCGGUGAAGAUAAUGACGGUAACCGGAGAAGAAGCCCCGGCUAACUUCGUGCCAGCAGCCGCGAUAAUACGAAGGGGGCUAGCGUUGUUCGGAUUUACUGGGCGUAAAGCGCACGUAGGCGGACUAUUAAGUCAGGGGUGAAAUCCCGGGGCUCAACCCCGGAACUGCCUUUGAUACUGGUAGUCUUGAGUUCGAGAGAGGUGAGUGGAAUUCCGAGUGUAGGGGUGAGAUUCGUAGA
rnacentral:rRNA from 1 species